rnacentral:misc_RNA from 1 species
GUUCGGGUAUGUUGAAUUUUGUUCGGGUAUGCUGUAUUUUAUCUUGAAUUACUAAGUCGCUAGUACUACUUCAUAUUGCUAGCUUAUUGGAUCUUUUGCCGCAGCUGUUGGGUGUAGCCUUAAUCAGGGAUUGCUUGCAUUUUGGUUUUCAAAUUGCUUGUUUUUUGACAAUCAUGGUGCUUUGUUUUCGUGGUCUAUUGUUGUUUGUGUUAUCUUUUCCUGUUUUGGAUGUACCAUUUUCGUCGAGUUUUUUCACUUCAAAUGCCAUGUCUUAGGUUAGGCGCCUUGAGA